rnacentral:piRNA from 1 species
AGAUAUUCGGAGCUAACAAAAAC